CCUACGGGGAGCAGCAGUGGGGAAUAUUGGACAAUGGGCGAAAGCCUGAUCCAGCCAUGCCGCGUGUGUGAAGAAGGCCUUCGGGUUGUAAAGCACUUUCAGUGGGGAAGAAAGCCUUGGGGCUAAUACCCUCGAGGAAGGACAUCACCCACAGAAGAAGCACCGGCUAACUCCGUGCCAGCAGCCGCGGUAAUACGGAGGGUGCGAGCGUUAAUCGGAAUUACUGGGCGUAAAGCGCGCGUAGGCGGUCUGAUAAGCCGGUUGUGAAAGCCCCGGGCUCAACCUGGGAACGGCAUCCGGAACUGUCAGGCUAGAGUGCAGGAGAGGAAGGUAGAAUUCCCGGGGUAGCGGUGAAAUGCGUAGAGAUCGGGAGGAAUACCAGUGGCGAAGGCGGCCUUCUGGACUGACACUGACGCUGAGGUGCGAAAGCGUGGGUAGCAAACAGGAUUAGAUACCCCAGUCGUC
rnacentral:rRNA from 1 species